rnacentral:rRNA from 1 species
UACGUAGGUGGCAAGCGUUGUCCGGAUUUAUUGGGCGUAAAGCGAGCGCAGGUGGUUCUUUAAGUCUGAUGUGAAAGCCCCCGGCUCAACCGGGGAGGGUCAUUGGAAACUGGGGAACUUGAGUGCAGAAGAGGAGAGUGGAAUUCCAUGUGUAGCGGUGAAAUGCGUAGAUAUAUGGAGGAACACCAGUGGCGAAGGCGACUCUCUGGUCUGUAACUGACACUGAGGCUCGAAAGCGUGGGGAGCAAACAGG